GACGAACGCUGGCGGCGUGCUUAACACAUGCAAGUCGAGCGAUGAAGCUUCUUCGGAAGUGGAUUAGCGGCGGACGGGUGAGUAACACGUGGGUAACCUGCCUCAUAGAGGGGAAUAGCCUUCCGAAAGGAAGAUUAAUACCGCAUAAGAUUGUAAUGCCGCAUGGCAUAGCAAUUAAAGGAGCAAUCCGCUAUGAGAUGGACCCGCGUCGCAUUAGCUAGUUGGUGAGGUAACGGCUCACCAAGGCGACGAUGCGUAGCCGACCUGAGAGGGUGAUCGGCCACAUUGGGACUGAGACACGGCCCAGACUCCUACGGGAGGCAGCAGUGGGGAAUAUUGCACAAUGGGGGAAACCCUGAUGCAGCAACGCCGCGUGAGUGAUGACGGUCUUCGGAUUGUAAAGCUCUGUCUUUAGGGUCGAUAAUGACGGUACCUAAGGAGGAAGCCACGGCUAACUACGUGCCAGCCGCCGCAGUAAUAC
rnacentral:rRNA from 1 species